rnacentral:rRNA from 1 species
UGAGGAAUAUUGGACAAUGGGGGCAACCCUGAUCCAGCCAUGCCGCGUGAGUGAAGAAGGCCCUAGGGUUGUAAAGCUCUUUCAGAUGUGAAGAUGAUGACGGUAACAUCAGAAGAAGCCCCGGCUAACUUCGUGCCAGCAGCCGCGGUAAUACGAAGGGGGCGAGCGUUGUUCGGAAUCACUGGGCGUAAAGAGUGCGUAGGCGGACAGGCAAGUCAGAUGUGAAAGCCCAGGGCUCAACCCUGGAACUGCAUUUGAAACUGCAAGUCUAGAGUCCGAGAGAGGUAAGUGGAACUCCGAGUGUAGAGGUGAAAUUCGCAGAUAUUCGGAAGAACACCAGUGGCGAAGGCGACUUACUGGAUCGGAACUGACGCUGAGGCACGAAAGCGUGGGGAGCAAACA